rnacentral:rRNA from 1 species
GUCUAUGACCAUGCCACCCUGAACAAGCCCGAUGUCUGAUCUCAGAAGCUAAGCAGGCUCGAGCCUGGUUAGUACUUGGAUGGGAGACCACCUAGAAAGACCAGGUGCUGUAGGCA